GAUUGAGUUAUUACCCGGAUUGCGGCAGCUAAGCGUGCUUGGGCGUGAGUAGUAAUAGGAUGGGUGACCCCCUAGGAAGUCCUCGUGUUGCAACUC
rnacentral:rRNA from 1 species